AUGUUUCUGAAGAUAGAUACGUAGCUGAGUCUUCUGUCUCCCUCAUCUGUGUCGACGGGACCCCCUCUGGAUCACCAGGCAUGGUGCCUGCUCCCCGCACCAUCAUGAAGUGCCAGGCUCAGCAUCAGCCCCAGCAAAUGGCAGCCUUGUGUCUAGGGAGUGGGGAGGGAGGAGAAAUCAGGGAGUGAAUGCCCAAACCAAGAACGGUGCCACGCCCCUGUACCUGGCGUGCCAGGAGGGCCACCUGGAGGUGACGCAGUACCUGGUGCAGGAAUGCGGCGCAGACCCGCACGCGCGCGCCCACGACGGCAUGACCCCGCUGCACGCCGCGGCGCAGAUGGGCCACAGCCCGGUCAUCGUGUGGUUGGUGAGCUGCACCGACGUGAGCCUGUCCGAGCAGGACAAAGACGGCGCCACCGCCAUGCACUUCGCGGCGAGCCGCGGCCACACCAAGGUGCUCAGCUGGCUGCUGCUGCACGGCGGGGAGAUCUCGGCUGACCUGUGGGGCGGGACGCCGCUGCACGACGCCGCUGAGAACGGGGAGCUAGAGGUCAGCGCGGGCCC
rnacentral:sRNA from 1 species